CCCUUAGAUGUUCUGGGCCGCACGCGCGCUACACUGCCGAAGUCAGCGAGCAUCUCCUACGCCGAAAGGUGCGGGGAAUCUUGUGAAACUUUGUCGUGCUGGGGAUUGAUUUUUGAAAUUCUUGAUCAUAAACGAGGAAUCCCUAGUAAGCGCAAGUCAGCAGCUUGCGUUGAUUACGUCCCUGCCCUUUGUACACACCGCCCGUCGCUACUACCGAUUGAAUGGUUUAGUGAGAUGUUUGGACCGGAACUCUCUUGCUCAGCAAUGGGCGAGAGAGAGUCUGGGAAGUCCCUCUAACUGUAUCAUUUAGAGGAAGUAAAAGUCGUAACA
rnacentral:rRNA from 1 species